rnacentral:rRNA from 1 species
GUCAUCCUACGGGGCGCAGCAGUGGGGAAUAUUGCACAAUGGGGGAAACCCUGAUGCAGCAACGCCGCGUGAGUGAUGACGGCCUUCGGGUUGUAAAGCUCUGUCCUCAGGGACGAUAAUGACGGUACCUGAGGAGGAAGCCACGGCUAACUACGUGCCAGCAGCCGCGGUAAUACGUAGGUGGCGAGCGUUGUCCGGAUUUACUGGGCGUAAAGGGAGCGUAGGCGGACUUUUAAGUGAGAUGUGAAAUACUCGGGCUCAACUUGAGUGCUGCAUUUCAAACUGGAAGUCUAGAGUGCUGGAGG